GUGGGGAAUAUUGGACAAUGGGCGCAAGCCUGAUCCAGCCAUACCGCGUGGGUGAAGAAGGCCUUCGGGUUGUAAAGCCCUUUUGUUGGGAAAGAAAUCCUGUCGGUUAAUACCUGGCGGGGAUGACGGUACCCAAAGAAUAAGCACCGGCUAACUUCGUGCCAGCAGCCGCGGUAAUACGAAGGGUGCAAGCGUUACUCGGAAUUACUGGGCGUAAAGCGUGCGUAGGUGGUGGUUUAAGUCCGUUGUGAAAGCCCUGGGCUCAACCUGGGAAUUGCAGUGGAUACUGGAUCACUAGAGUGUGGUAGAGGGAUGCGGAAUUUCUGGUGUAGCAGUGAAAUGCGUAGAGAUCAGAAGGAACAUCCGUGGCGAAGGCGGCAUCCUGGGCCAACACUGACACUGAGUCACGAAAGCGUGGGGAGCAAACAGGAUUAGAUACCCCUGUAGUCC
rnacentral:rRNA from 1 species